rnacentral:rRNA from 1 species
UACGUAGGUGGCAAGCGUUGUCCGGAUUUACUGGGCGUAAAGGGCGUGCAGGCGGUCUGUUAAGUUCAGGGUGAAAGCUCCCGGCUCAACUGGGAGAGGUCCUUGGAUACUGGCAGACUCGAGGGAGGUAGAGGAGAGUGGAAUUCCCGGUGUAGUGGUGAUAUGCGUAGAUAUCGGGAGGAACACCAGUGGCGAAGGCGGCUCUCUGGGCCUUACCUGACGCUGAGGAGCGAAAGCGUGGGGAGCGAACAGG